UGGGGAAUAUUGGGCAAUGGGCGCAAGCCUGACCCAGCAAUGCCGCGUGAAGGAAGAAGGCCCUCGGGUUGUAAACUUCUUUUAUCAGGGACGAAGGAUGUGACGGUACCCAAGGAGGAAGCCACGGCUAACUACGUGCCAGCAGCCGCGGUAAAACGUAGGUGGCAAGCGUUGUCCGGAAUUACUGGGUGUAAAGGGAGCGCAGGCGGAGCGGCAAGUUGGAGGUGAAACCCAUGGGCUCAACCCAUGAACUGCCUUCAAAACUGUCGGUCUUGAGUGGUGUAGAGGUAAGCGGAAUUCCCGGUGUAGCGGUGGAAUGCGUAGAUAUCGGGAGGAACACCAGUGGCGAAGGCGGCUUACUGGGCACUAACUGACGCUGAGGCUCGAAAGCAUGGGUAGCAAACAGGAUUAGAUACCC
rnacentral:rRNA from 1 species